AGUGAACGCUGGCGGUAGGCCUAACACAUGCCAGUCGAACGGCAGCACAGUAAGAGCUUGCUCUUACGGGUGGCGAGUGGCGGACGGGUGAGGAAUACAUCGGAAUCUACUUUUUCGUGGGGGAUAACGUAGGGAAACUUACGCUAAUACCGCAUACGACCUACGGGUGAAAGCAGGGGAUCUUCGGACCUUGCGCGAUUGAAUGAGCCGAUGUCGGAUUAGCUAGUUGGCGGGGUAAAGGCCCACCAAGGCGACGAUCCGUAGCUGGUCUGAGAGGAUGACAGCCCAACCUGGAACUGGGACACGGUCCAGACUCCUAGGGGAGGCAGCGGUGGGGAAUUUGGGAAAAUGGGCGCAAGCCUGAUCCGGCCAUACCGGGGGGGUGAAGAAGGCCUUCGGGUUGGAAAGCCCUUUUGUUGGGAAAGAAAAGCAGCAGGUUAAUACCCCGCUGUUUUGACGGAACCAAAAAAAAAAGCCCCGGCUAACUUCGU
rnacentral:rRNA from 1 species